rnacentral:rRNA from 1 species
GCAGUCGAACGGCAGCGCGGACUUCGGUCUGGCGGCGAGUGGCGAACGGGUGAGUAAUACAUCGGACGUGCCCUGUUGUGGGGGAUAACUAGUCGAAAGAUUAGCUAAUACCGCAUACGACCUGAGGGUGAAAGCGGGGGACCGUAAGGCCUCGCGCAAUAGGAGCGGCCGAUGUCUGAUUAGCUAGUUGGUGGGGUAAAGGCCCACCAAGGCGACGAUCAGUAGCUGGUCUGAGAGGACGAUCAGCCACACUGGGACUGAGACACGGCCCAGACUCCUACGGGAGGCAGCAGUGGGGAAUUUUGGACAAUGGGGGCAACCCUGAUCCAGCAAUGCCGCGUGUGUGAAGAAGGCCUUCGGGUUGUAAAGCACUUUUGUCCGGAAAGAAAUCGCUCUGGCUAAUACCUGGGGUGGAUGACGGUACCGGAAGAAUAAGCACCGGCUAACUACGUGCCAGCAGCCGCGGUAAUACGUAGGGUGCGAGCGUUAAUCGGAAUUACUGG